UGGGGGAUAUUGCACAAUGGGGGAAACCCUGAUGCAGCGACGCCGCGUGUGGGAAGACGGUCCUCUGGAUUGUAAACCACUGUCCCCAGGGACGAAGAUGACGGUACCUGGGGAGGAAGCUCCGGCUAACUACGUGCCAGCAGCCGCGGUAAUACGUAGGGAGCGAGCGUUGUCCGGAAUUACUGGGUGUAAAGGGAGCGUAGGCGGGGAUGCAAGUUGGGUGUCAAAACUACCGGCUCAACUGGUAGUCGCACUCAAAACUGCAACUCUUGAGUGAAGUAGAGGCAGGCGGAAUUCCUAGUGUAGCGGUGAAAUGCGUAGAUAUUAGGAGGAACACCAGUGGCGAAGGCGGCCUGCUGGGCUUUUACUGACGCUGAGGCUCGAAAGUGUGGGGAGCAAACAGG
rnacentral:rRNA from 1 species